rnacentral:rRNA from 1 species
UACGGGGGGGGGCAAGCGUUUGUUCGGAAUUACUGGGCGUAAAGGGCUCGUAGGCGGCCAACUAAGUCAGACGUGAAAUCCCUCGGCUCAACCGGGGAACUGCGUGUGAUACUGGCGGGCUUGAAUUCGGGAGAGGGAUGUGGAAUUCCAGGUGUAGCGGUGAAUGCGUAGAUAUCUGGAGGAACACCAGUGGCGAAGGCGGCAUCCUGGACCGAGAUUGACGCUGAGGCGCGAAAGCUAGGGGAGCAAACGGG